rnacentral:tRNA from 1 species
AUCUAAGUAGUUUAUUAAAAUAUUGAUUUGUGGUGUCAGUGAAGUAAUGUUAUAUUACCUUAGAUC